CUUUUAAAUAUUAAAAUGUCUGUAGAAGAGUCAUGAGACUUUAGAAUAAAAAUAACGAAAAUAAAUACCAACGCAUUUAUUGUAAAGUCUGCGAGUCAUAAAAGAGAUCCAUUUUCAUGAGUUCUGCUGUGCUGACCUGUGGAAAACAAAAUAUGAGCGGGGUUUAACUUCUGCAGUUAUAAUUAAUCUUUCUAAAUUUAACAUCAUUCUACGAGAAUAAAAUUUUUAUCUGGUCCAUGUUAAGUGUGUAAAUAAAUUCAAUGCAAAGUAAUGUUGAAACAUUUGUGGCUGUUGCUUUUCUAAAUUCAUCAAAGGCAUUUUCAUUUAGGUCUCGGUUCAUAAGUUCUUCCCUGAUCUCCUUUUUAAAAAUAGCCCUGCCAGUCUCUAUUAAAUCAGCUUAUUCUCAUUCCUGUGGAGCGCUUGUCAGUACCUGAAAGUAUCUUGUUUAUUUAUAUUUUUAGUUGUUCACUCUUAUCUAAUCCAAGAGCAAAUACAGGUUUCGUGGGGUCUGAAGCUAACACGAUUCUGGUGAUCCUUUGAAAUAAAAUGAUUUGAAAUUAUGAGUACAGCAAGUCCUUGAAUAAUGUUGUUUUGUUCGACAUCAUUUCAUAAUAACACCGAUGAGAAAAACACUGACUCCCAUAGGGACCACGGUCUGCGUGGAGCUGGCACCUUCUCCCCUGAUCCGCAGGGUUUUCUCUGGGUUGUCAGGUUUCCUUGAACUGGCACGUCCACAUUGUCCCGGUGUGAGCAAGUGUGGGUGUGAGUGUGAGUGAACCCCGUGAUGGCUUGUUGUCCUGUGCAAGCCUGGCUCCCCCGCCUUGUACGCUGAGCUGCUGAGAUUGGCUCUGGCUAAUCACAACCCUGAACUGGAAUAAUUGGAGCUCUGAAGAAAUACUAAUGAAAAAUGAGAAUUACCAUUUCAAGAGAUGGAUGCAUUUGAGUGGCCAAAUUCGGGUAUGAAACAUAUUUCUUCCAUUGCUGACUUCUGUUUCCUCAAAUCCUCCCUUCAUGUUUACAAUUUAGCUGAAAUUUCCUGUCUACGUUCUCUUUUCUUACCUUUGAACACUUCUCCUCCACUGCUCCUCUCCCCAGUAGAAUCCAACCUUUGAAAUGCUGCCCUACAGUAAUUGUUGAGCUAAUUUUCUCUCAAUUUUCUUAUGGUUUACUAGAAAGCCUUUUUUGAGUGAGGACAAAAUUCAUAACAUACCUUAUGCUAAAAGACAUUUGCAUAAUUUGGUAUCCAUCAAUAAUUCAAAGGUUGAUAUAAAGCUAAAGAUAGACUUACCACAUGACCUAACAUUUGUGCUUCUAGAUAUUCAUCCAACAGAUUUGAAAAAUUAUGCUCACACAAAAGCCUGCAUAUGAAUGUUCAUAGCAGUUCUAUUCAUAUUUACCAAAAGCUGUGAGGAAUCAAGAAGUCCUUCAAAAGGCGAAUGGAGACACAAUUGUGCUACAUCCAUACCGUGGAAUACUAUUCAGCAAUAGAAGUGCACUAUCAAGCCGUGUAAAGAUAUGAAUUAGCAUUGCUAAGUGCAAGAAGUUAGUGUUAGAAAGCUACAUACCAUAUAAUUCCAUUUAUAU
ensembl:lncRNA